rnacentral:rRNA from 1 species
UUAUUUUUUAAUAAUACUCUUUUCUAAUUAAAUCAUUUUCUAAUUCAACAUGUGAUCCAACCCUAUUCUCUCUCACCCGCAAGGCUUUAAACUUUAAAUUUUCUACAGUCUAUUUAAACCCUAGUACCUUUUGCAUAAUGGCUUAGCAAGCUUAAAGAUAUUUUUCUUUUACCCGAAUGAAAAACGAGCUAUAAUAAAUUUGCUUAGACCCCAAUGGUUUCUGUGGCAUCAGAUUCAUAAAAAUUUAUUAUAGAGGCUACAUACCUACCGCGUUUUCUAAUAGCUGGUUCUCUUCUUUUACUAUCUAAGUAGUUUUAUCUUUCUUAUUAUAUACCUCAAAAUUUUAGAUAAAUUAUUUUUCCUAGGAUAAGCUAGGAAACUAUCUUUCUAUCACUACUCUAAAGGAUCAAUUUCUUAUAAAGGCUUAAGAUCAGCCAUUUAUUCAUUUCUACGUUCUAGUACUAAUAUUUUCUUCCUAAAAUCCUAAUUUAUUGAUGGUCAACCCAGAAGAGUCUAAAAAUAAACUUUUUAUUUUUAUAAACAAUGCUAAGAUUAGUAUUCUUUCUAUAUAUUCUUCAAUUCUUUAAAUAAACCUAACCCCCUUAUUAUAUUUAACUAUAUAUUUUUAACGAACUCUGCAAACUUUUAGUUCGACUGUUUACCAAAAACAUUGCUUCUAGAAUAAUGAUUAGAAGUUCAUCCUGCCCAGUGAUUUUUUUCAACGGCCGCGGUAUCCUGACCGUGCAAAGGUAGCAUAAUCAUUUGCCUUUUAAUUGAAGGCUUGUAUGAAUGGAUAAACGAGACUAUAACUGUUUCAAUCUUAUUAUUAAAAAUUAGGCUUCAGGUGAAGACACCUGAAUUACUCUAAAAGACAAGAAGACCCCGUAGAGUUUUAAGUAUAUAAGUUUCUCUCUACUUUAUUUACUUUUGGUUGGGGCGACCCAGGGUUAAAUUUAACACCCUUAAUUUCUUAGAGACGUUUCUCUCUUUAAAGACCCUAUUUUAUUGAUCUUCAGAAUAAACUACCUCGGGGAUAACAGGCUUAUCUUCCUAGAGAGCCCAUAUUGAUAGGAAGGUUUGGCACCUCGAUGUUGGCUUAGAGUACCUUGAAAAUGCAGAAGUUUUCUAUAGUCAGUUUGUUCAACUGUUAAAACUCUACAUGAGCUGAGUUCAGACCGGCGUAAGCCAGGUUAGUUUCUAUCUUUAGAACACUAUUUAGUUUAUUAGUACGAAAGGACCAUGAACUUCAAUAUCAUUGAUUUUAAUCGACACCCAAUAACCCAUUCACUUUAAUUAAUCUUCUUUUACAC